rnacentral:rRNA from 1 species
AAUGAACGCUGGCGGCAUGCCUUACACAUGCAAGUCGAACGGCAGCAUGACCUAGCUUGCUAGGUUGAUGGCGAGUGGCGAACGGGUGAGUAAUGCAUCGGAACGUGCCUUUUAGUGGGGGAUAACGUAGCGAAAGUUACGCUAAUACCGCAUAUUCUCUGAGGAGGAAAGCAGGGGACCUUCGGGCCUUGCGCUAGAAGAGCGGCCGAUGUCGGAUUAGCUAGUUGGUGAGGUAAAGGCUCACCAAGGCAACGAUCCGUAGCGGGUCUGAGAGGAUGAUCCGCCACACUGGAACUGAGACAAGGCCCAGACUCCUACGGGAGGCAGCAGUGGGGAAUUUUGGACAAUGGGCGCAAGCCUGAUCCAGCCAUGCCGCGUGAGUGAAGAAGGCCUUCGGGUUGUAAAGCUCUUUCGGCUGGGAAGAAAUCGCACCCUCUAAUACAGGGUGUGGAUGACGGUACCAGCAGAAGAAGCACCGGCUAACUACGUG